CUAUUUGUAAUGUACCAGAUUUUAAUACAAAAUUAAGUGUAAAUAAAAAUAGUGUAAGAUACUAUUUUUAUUGGACUUGAAGAAGAAAAGUAUAAGUCGGAAAUGACUUAUGCUGAAAUCGGAAUAAAAACAGGAGAUUUAGAAUUUUCUGUGAGAAACGGAAUUGGUAUUUUUAGCAGAAAAUUCAAAGUGUCAGAAAAUUAUAAAAAUCUGAGAAUAUGUCAAGAUUAUUUUUAUGAGGUUAGAUUUAAAGUUUCAUAUCAUUCUGACACCCAGAAAGUAAAAAAUAAAAUCUGACUACUAUCUGCUAGAGAUUACAGUUCGGUAGGAUUUUCGGUGACCAAAAAUGGUCCAAACUGGAAAGUUAAGAUAUUUUCUUUCUUAUUAGCUUAAACUGAGCCUGACUGUCAAAUUUGAGCGCAAACGGACAUUCAGAAGGGCUCCGGUAAAAAGGAACAGAUUCUGAGCUGCUAAACUGCUGGUUGUAAUAGUGUUUUG
rnacentral:lncRNA from 1 species